GGAGCUUUUACAGAAAAGAUAAGUGGAAUUUGUGUCACUCCAUCCUCUAUUUAUAGUACUUAGAAAACCUAGUUUGUUCCUAUUUAAAUUCUAAAAGAUAAAUAAAGAAAAAUAAAGAUAAAAGUUGAAAUUAAAUCUAAAUAAUAAUUUUAACAAUAGUCCUAAUAUAAUUCAAAUUUAAAUAGAGUCUUGUAUUUAUAAAAUCUCUUCUUUGAAAUUUUGCCCCCAAGUCUUCCACACUUUGCAUUUUCGACACCACUUCUUUCCUAUUUUGCAUGCUGGCCCAUUUUAUCUUUAAAUUCAUGCUUUUUGCCCUUAAAUUUCCUUUUGCCUUCAAUUUAGUCCCUACAAGAUAGAAAGCCAUAAAUAGCUCAAAUUAGUAGGAUCAUACUCAAAAUAUAUAUGUAAUUAAUACAUAAAAAUAUGUCAUUCUAGAGUAUUAUCAACAACCGCUGAUGGUGGUAGGUUGGUGGCCAAUAGGUGACGGGUUCUCACUUCUCAGAUCUCACUGUUGUGUUAGUUUAGAAGAGGGGCCUUAUUUUUUGUCAAAGCCCAUAUUUCAAGGCUAUAUUUUUGUCCAAACCCUUCCAUUUUCCAAGUGAGCCCUCAGGCCUAUUCGGGUGGCUCGACCCAUGGACAACUCUAGCCUAAAACCAUAUUUGGGAUUAAAAAAAUAUUAAAUUUAUUUGGACUGGGCCGGGCCAAAAAUAUAUUGUCCGAAGCUAGGCCCAUUUAAAAAACGAGCCUUAUUUUUAUCCAAGCCCAUUUUCAGGACUAUAUUUUUUCCAAACCCUCUCAUUUUUCUAGUGGGCCAUGAUCAGGUCUAGCUUCAAUACAUUUCCAUUCCUUUUUUUUUGGCUUUUUUUUUUCAAAAUUGACCUAAAAUUAUUGAUUAAUUACAAAAAAUAAUCCACUUGCAAAGUAUUGUACGACAAUGACCCAUUUGCUAUAGUGUCCUUCGAUUUACCGAUUCAACAUUUUUUAACUUGAUUUAAAAGACAUUUUUUAUACAGAUAGUAUUUGUAAGCAAGAGUCAAGUACUCGAGUUAACUUGUACUUGAGUUUGAGAAAUUUAACUUAAGUAAAACUCUUAAAGUACUGAAACACUAGACUAUUGAGGAUUCUAACUUAAGUAGCAUUAGUGUAAAUUAAGUCUAGCUAAUCGCUGAAGAAUAGUAUAACUUUGUUGAAGGGAGAAUACUAUAAAUUGCUACAAUUUUAAUAAUAAAAAAAUUGGCUCUUGAAAUUGAAGAUAUUAUGAUCAAAAGUAACAAUUUUGUAUUUAAUUGAAAAUACAACUAUAUUUUCUACUAUUAACUUAUCAUGCACACUCUUAAAACAAAAAAAAAAUGUGCAAAAAAAUUUGCUUUGGCACAAGUGCAGUGGAAUUGCCUUAGCCUACAAGAUAGAAAACAUUCAGUGGUGUAAAUAGGACAUGCAAACGAGAUAAAAAAAUUGCAUGGGCACAAGUGUAGUGCAUACCUAACUCAUUUUGUUGUCGCCCCUGCUACUUCUAUAAACAUAACAAAGUCAACCAUAUUUUCCAACAUUUAUUAACUUAUCAUGCACACUCUUAAAAUAACAAAAAAAAAUGUGUCAAUUAGUUACCUUCUCUCUUUCAAGAUGAAACCUAGAAAUAAUAUUGUCCCUUUUGAACUUGGAUUUGGAAAGAAAGGGUGGAGUUCACAAUGGUCUUUUUACGCCAACGGGUAGAAAUAUUUUCCAAAUCUACUUCUUUACAGAGACGAGUCUUCUUCUUAGGUUUCUUAGGUUUCUUAUUCGUCUGAGUACAUUUUUUGUAUAUCUGCCCAUAUGGGCAGGACAACCUCGGGACGCUCUAAGAGCUAACAAUUAGCUGCUCUUGCUUUAAGGGGUCAUCAUGCCCCAAUUGAUGAUCCUACUGCUGCAUUGGGUUAUGAUACCCUAACUGAUCAUCCUCCAUAUCCAAGAGUUGAUCCAAGUUCUCUACACAAAUUUAAAAAACUCAAAUCUAAUAAGUAAUAUUAGAUAGUGAAUUUGGUUUGGAAAAUAUCUAAUGAACAUUACCAAAAUGAGAGAGCAAGUUGUACUGAGAGUCCCCAUGUCUCUCAUUUAGACACAAUCCCCAUGUUAAAGUUAUGUAAAGAAAAAAAUCAACUUACGUAUUUCCCCAUCAUGCUCUUGUGUUGGAGAUGUUAUCUCUUCCUCUUGAUUUUGAAAACCCCUCUUUUCUUCAUCUAUAACAUUAAAAAAAAGUUAGAAUACAAAGGAAGGAACAAGCAAGAAAAAAAAGAGGCUGCGGGGGUGGGCCGGGGGGGACACAAGUUAUUGAUUACCUUCAAUAAACAAACACUGUCAACGAUCACACCAAACUGACACAAAAUCUUCAUGGACCAAGCUCCAAUUUUCUUUUGUCCUCGCCUAGAUUUUUUUUACAUCUAUCAUGUUUCUAGUGAAUAGAAUAGAUAUGAAUCAUCUUGGAUUGAAGAUGAAAAGAAAUAUGUAGUUGCUUUUUCUUUAAGACAGCAGGAUCAUGGAGAAUUACCUUCUCUAUAGAUAUAAGUGAUGUCAAAGCAUGUUCCAAGGGAACUUGACAAUCAUAUGGAGAAGAUAAGAAAUUUCCUAAUAGUCUAGCAUAUGGG
rnacentral:lncRNA from 1 species